UGUUCUCUUUUCUGACCAAGUGUGGAUGC
rnacentral:piRNA from 1 species